GAGCAAUUCUGUGAUUCUAUGACUUCUCAUACACAGAUGGAGCCAUGAUCCCUCUUCCACCGCUAUCUUCACACCUGUCUCUUGAAAGAGGCAGUCUGAUUUACCAAGGAAUUUGCUGAAGGGGAGCAUCUGGUCUAUCAAGGAAAUGAGUUAAACCUGUGCUCACAUCACACAAUAAAGGCUGGAGCCCAGCUGAGUUGGCACAGUGCAUUUGAGGUAACUGCAGACCAUGGAGUGUGUUGGUGUUCAGGGAAUAUACCUUGACAGCAAAAGCAGUAGAUAAACUGGUGGAAGGAGUCCUUACACAGAGAAGAGUUCUAAAAUCACAGGU
ensembl:lncRNA